UGAGCAGACUAUGUGACAGCGUGAACGCUUUAGUUUAUGAGGAAAGUCCGAGCAUCACAGAGCAAGGUAACUGCUAACGGCAGCCGAGGGCGACCUUAGGGCAAGUGCAACAGAAAUAAACUGCCUGUUUUUACGGGUGAUGGUGGAAAGGCGAGGUAAAAGCUCACCAGAGUGCAGGAGACUGCAUUGCUAUGUAAACCCUACCUGAUGCAACGUCUAUUGGUGCUGAAUAUUAUAACGUCUGCUCGGCGGAUAUUCAGUAAUGACGGCUUGAACUUAUCGGCGACGAUAAGUCUAGAUAAAUUGUCACACUCGACAGAACUCGGCUUAUCGGUCUGGUCACGAU
rnacentral:RNase_P_RNA from 1 species